rnacentral:rRNA from 1 species
UACGUAGGGGGCUAGCGUUGCCCGGAAUCAUUGGGCGUAAAGCGCGUGUAGGCGGCCCGGUAAGUCCGCUGUGAAAGUCGGGGGCUCAACCCUCGGAUGCCGGUGGAUACUGUCGGGCUCGAGUGCGGAAGAGGCGAGUGGAAUUCCUGGUGUAGCGGUGAAAUGCGCAGAUAUCAGGAGGAACACCAAUUGCGAAGGCAGCUCGCUGGGACGUUACUGACGCUGAGACGCGAAAGCGUGGGGAGCAAACAGG